rnacentral:rRNA from 1 species
ACUCCUACGGGAGGCAGCAGUGGGGAAUCUUGCGCAAUGGGCGAAAGCCUGACGCAGCAACGCCGCGUGGGGGAUGAAGGCUCUCGGGUUGUAAACCCCUUUCAGCAGGGACGAAUCAAGACGGUACCUGCAGAAGAAGCUCCGGCUAACUACGUGCCAGCAGCCGCGGUAACACGUAGGGGGCAAGCGUUGUCCGGAUUUAUUGGGCGUAAAGAGCUCGUAGGCGGCUGAGUAAGUCGGAUGUCAAAUACCCAGGCUCAACCUGGGUCUCCACCCGAUACUGCUCUGGCUAGAGUCCGGUAGGGGAGCGUGGAAUUCCUGGUGUAGCGGUGAAAUGCGCAGAUAUCAGGAGGAACACCAGCGGCGAAGGCGGCGCUCUGGGCCGGAACUGACGCUGAGGAGCGAAAGCGUGGGUAGCAAACAGGAUUAGAUACCCUGGUAGGCGUAG